ACAGAACCUGGACUUCUGACCGCCAGAACUGGGAGCUAAUGAAUACAUGGCCACGAAGUUGGUGGGCGCCUGAGAGAGCUGCUCAGCUGUGAGGUCCUUCCCCUGGACUUGAGCACAGGCCUUCUGGCUCGGGGUGCUGAGGGAUGCUGCUCCCCUGUGAGGGGGGUACCCGGGGCACCCCAGCCUCCCUUAGGAACUCCCAGGCCCCUCAGAAGCAGGAAGUUGGGCUGACCAAGGCUGUGGCAGCUCAGCUAUAUACAUGGCCCCUCUUGACCCUUCUCUGUGAACUGAGGUGCUCUACCUGACGGCCUCUUCACCAAGGGAAAAUGCUUCAGGCAUUUGGGAGCGUGCACCCUGAGAAGGCCUCCGCAAGUUUUUGGAGACUGUCCUUCACAGAAACGGGGUCUCAUUAUAUUGUCCAGGCUGGUCUCAAACUCCUGGGCUCGAGUGAUCUGCCCGCCUCAGCCUCUCAAAUUGUUGGGAUUACAGGCAUGAGCCGCUGCGCCUGGCCCGACAAGGCUUCUUGUUGCACUUAAAGGAAUGAACGGCUAUAGAGGGCAUAUGGGACUGGAAGGCACUGGAUUUAUAACAUCCUCACGCCUUCUGGAAACGUGAAAAAUGUUUCACAAAAGCACAGCCUAAGGCCUCAUGUGAUGAGGUGGGCUCUCCACAAGUUCCCGGGGCAGAGUCUGAAGACCUCUGCUGGGUAGGGGCUUCCUCCUGGUACCCAAGGGCCCGCCCUCUCAGGCCCACCUUGAGGCCACCCUGCUGGGCCACUUCCCGGAUUUUGGACAGCAUUGAUUGGAGCCGCCCGUUCUCCUCCUGUAGGACCCGGAUGCGGAUGUCGUUGGCCUGCACUUGCCUCUCCAUGUGAUCUGUGACGUUGCCAGAGUCUGUGGGACAUGUUAUCUGGGAUUCCACACUGCUGGAUGUGCCUCCUGUGCCCAAUGGGACAGGACCUUAGAAGGGAGGCACACCAGCUUGGGUGGGUGGCCCGGCAGGCACAAGGGAGCUGUGUAGUGCCCCAGGCCUCCCAGCUCAUCUUCCUUCUCCCGAGGCCUUAUUCCCCCUUCCCUGUCCCCCCACCUGCGGGGAAGGUGACCAUAGUAUUAUAAAAUCUGAGAGCUGGGUGGGACCUAGAGCUCUUAAAAGACUUAGCAAGGCCGGGCGCAGUGGCUCAUGCCUGUAAUCUCAGCACUUUGGGAGGCCGAGGUGGGUGGAUCACGAGGUCAAGAGAUCGAGACCAUCCUGGCCAACAUGGUGAAACCCCAUAUAUACUAAAACUACAAAAAUGAGCUGGGUGUGGUGGCGGGCCCUGUAGUCCCAGCUACUCGGGAUGCUGAGGCAGGAGAAUCACUUGAACCGGGGAGGUGGAGGUUGCAGUGAGCUGAGAUUGCGCCACUGCACUCCAGCCUGGCAACAGAGUGAGACUCUGUCUCUCAAAAAAAAAAAAAAAAAAAAAAAAAAAAAAAAAACUUA